ACAGGGGGGGCAAGCGUUGUUCGGAAUUACUGGGCGUAAAGGGUUUGUAGGUGGCCACUUAAGUCAGACGUGAAAUCCCUCAGCUUAACUGGGGAACUGCGUCUGAUACUGGGUGGCUUGAGUGCAGGAGAGGAACGCGGAAUUCCAGGUGUAGCGGUGAAAUGCGUAGAUAUCUGGAGGAACACCGGUGGCGAAGGCGGCGUUCUGGACUGUAACUGACACUGAGGCACGAAAGCGUGGGGAGCAAACAGGA
rnacentral:rRNA from 1 species